GGAAGCAUUUGCACAAUGGAAAUGCUCAGAGGCUUGAUUAGGAGACUGCAGGACUGUGUCUUGUCAAACCUGUGAGAAAUAAAUGCAUAUACGAUUCAAGACUGCUUUCCAGACUUCCACAGCAUCAUCAUCAUUGGGAACAGUGUUGGCUGGCUAAGACUGUCUCUCCUCAGACUUUGACAUGGCAAUGCAGAAGGAAACUGUGACCGUCGCAAUCAUCAUUAACCAACAAAUAUCCUGCAGAUUUGUCCUGCAUUGUCUGUGAACACAUCAUCGUCUAACUGAAGGAUGAGUAGAUACUAGCUGGAGAUCUUGACUCAGUGUCCCUAUUUGGCGUCUGGCCAACAAGAACAAGAAAAAAAAGAUUGAACCCCAGAGACCUGCCCUUCAAGUUACCAUUCCUCCAAGGCUUGCCCUUCUCAGCUUGUGUCUGGCAUCUGCAGACGCCUGAGAUUGUCUGCAGACUUCCAUCCCCUUUGGGUCCUCAGCAUGAGAGUCCCUGGACUCCACAUUGAAAACUCCUGUGCUGGAUUUCAAUGGCAUCAUCUUGAAUCUAUUUCCAAUUUAUCACUGAAUGAUUGCAGACACGAGAGUGAGAGGUAGCAAAGCCCUAACGAUGGAGAGGGUCUGUUUUUUAUUGCCUGCGCAGGGUCUCAGUGUUACUGUACCUCUUUGGGCUCCCCUCUUUAGUCUGCUGGAUUUCCAAGAAGUGGCUGAGCCAGACUGAAUGUCACACGGUUAGACUCAUCUGCUGUCCAUCAUGGGGGUGACGCUCUCCAGGGCAAUUCAGUGGAGCUCUGAUGGGAAUAAACUAGAGAACAGCCUCCUGAAUAAUGACAUCUUGACUGAAAUUAUGCUCUUCACUGAGUACUUCAGUGAGAGCCACCCGGAGGAAGCAAGACUUACAUUCAGUGAGCCGCUACAAUGGAAAACAUCUCUAGAAGUGUCUGAUUUCACAUCAGAGAUAUACGACGUCAGAGAAGGGUCAGUUAUGUCUCAGGAACAUGAUGAUAACGGACGCCCACUUCUCCUUCUGAAUCCACCUGACAUCACAGUGCACUCAUUCUACCACCUCUCUAACAUUCUGCAACUAAAUAAAAAUAAAAAUAGAAAGGAGGUUCAAGCCUGUUUAGAGGGUAAGAUGCAGACAGAAAAUACUGUAUUGCAUUUUAGCAGAACAUUGGGAAACACUCAAUAAUUAAUCAUUUUAUAUAAGAAUAAUGUGUUGUUCACCUCACUUGUCAAGCAUGCAUCAAACAUUGUAUGACACUGUAUGAAAUCACACAAAAUAAACACUAAGUAAAAUCUGUUUACUUCAGAAAAAUCAAAGAGCUUAGAAUGACCAAGAGGCGACACUCAUUAGAACUUCCAUUGCAAC